UGGGGAAUAUUGGACAAUGGGCGAAAGCCUGAUCCAGCCAUGCCGCGUGUGUGAAGAAGGUCUUCGGAUUGUAAAGCACUUUAAGUUGGGAGGAAGGGCAGUAAGUUAAUACCUUGCUGUCUUGACGUUACCGACAGAAUAAGCACCGGCUAACUCUGUGCCAGCAGCCGCGGUAAUACAGAGGGUGCAAGCGUUAAUCGGAAUUACUGGGCGUAAAGCGCGCGUAGGUGGUCUGUUAAGUUGGAUGUGAAAGCCCCGGGCUCAACCUGGGAACUGCAUCCAAAACUGGCAGGCUAGAGUACGGUAGAGGGUGGUGGAAUUUCCUGUGUAGCGGUGAAAUGCGUAGAUAUAGGAAGGAACACCAGUGGCGAAGGCGACCACCUGGACUGAUACUGACACUGAGGUGCGAAAGCGUGGGGAGCAAACA
rnacentral:rRNA from 1 species